GCGGGUAAUCAAGAUCAACAAGGUUACAUUGUGUGCAGUAAAGGUAUCCAUCAAAAAUCACAUUGUUCAACAACAACAGCAUCACAUGCUUACUAGAAACCCAGUUUUGUAAUUUUCUAGCUUAGAUUCCUAAUGACUGCACGAGCUGUUAGACCAACUAGUAACUGGAGGUUGCUGAUUAGUUGCUUAUGCACCCUCAAGGGUUUCAGGUUAUAAGGCUAUGUCUUAAAGUAAUGCUGCUUAGGGUGCAAGUUCAUUAAUAAAAGUCAUCAUAUGGUAUGUAAGAACCCAGUUCUGACUUGGCGGUUAGCCAGUAGGUAGUUGUGCCAGCUAGGUCGGCUGGAUAACGCGCCCCAGAGCGCUAGCUCGCUUAUUAGGGGAAGGAGCACAUUAAAAUAGAGGGGAGGGGGGUGGGGGUAAAUACAGGGCAUGGUGACUGGCUGUCAGCUUGC